AAAAACAUGGUCUUUUGUUUAUAUAAAAGAUUUAACCUGCCCUAUGAUUAUAUUUAAAUGGCUGCAGUAUUUUGACUGUACAAAGGUAGCAUAAUCAUUUGUCUUUUAAUUGAGGACUAGUAUGAAUGGUUGGAUGAAAAAUAUUCUUUCUUUAUUUUAUAAAAAAAAAUUGAUUUUUUAGUUAAAAAGCUAAAAUAUAUUUAAAGGACGAGAAGACCCUAUAGAACUUUACUUUUAAUUUAUAUAAACUUUAUAUAUUUUAAAAUUAUAUAUAGAUUUUAUUAGUUUUGUUGGGGUGAUAGAAAAAAUUAUAUAACUUUUUCUUAUAUUUACAUAUAUCUAUGUUUUUUUGAUCUUUUAUUAAGGAUAAUAAGAUUAAGUUACCUUAGGGAUAACAGCGUUAUUUUUUUGGAGAGUUCAUAUUGAUGAAAAAGUUUGCGACCUCGAUGUUGGAUUAAAAUAAGUUACAGGAGUAUAAUAUUGUAUACUAGGUCUGUUCGACCUUUAAAUUUUUACAUGAUCUGAGUU
rnacentral:rRNA from 1 species